AAGAAGAAGUGAGAGACCCUUAACGGGUCCGACCUAACGGGUCUGAUCCGGGUACGGAUCCGAACCUGUUAGGCCCAAAUAAAAUAAAAAAAAAAGGGUUUAGCCAAAUUUGAUUAAAACCGAGCCCAGUCAGAUUAGGCUAAGUCCGGACGAACCCAAACUAUAAAUUGGGUUAAAUCCGAACCAAAUUAAACCCAAUUGAGUUGGAUAUGAACCUAAUUAAGCUGAGUUAGUCUCAGCAGACCCAAAUUGAAUAUGAAUCAAGCCCAAUUCAAAACCAGUUUAACUAAAUUGAGACCGAAUUGACUUUGGGCUGACCCUGACUCAAGCCUAGAUGAGCCACAUUGACCCUGGACCAAAAUUAAACUUAAUUGGACUUGAAAUUGAGCCCAAUAACAUAAUCAGAAGACCAAAUUGACCCGAUAGGGCUAGACCCAAUCAGGAACCGAGCCCAAUUCUUUAAUUAAAGACCCAAUUGACCUACGUGAACCCAAUCUGGUUCUAAAUCGAGGCCAAGGGCUCUAAAUUAAAUAAAUUGGACUUGAGAUCCAAGCAAGUAAAUUCAUGUUAUGAUAAAUUAGAAAAUUAUGAAAUAAAUAGAGAAUAAUGUGACCCCUAUGUGAUUUAUUUAGGUGAUCAAGGAUUUGUCACCCGGACGUAAGAAAUUGGAAAGCAUAUUGCUAUGAUUAAGACCACUAGGAGCAGGGAGCUUGAUGUUAUUCAGGGUUGGGGUAAUUGAAAAUGUUAUGUAAUAAUCAGAUUUUAGAAGCUCUGUACUGUUCCAACUUCUUCACUAAUGUUAUGACAUUAGUAAAUGAAACUAUUUAUUUUUAUUAUGAAAUUUUA